CUCACCUCACAAUCUUCUCCCCAUUUUUUUCUGCUCCAAUCAACGAGCCGCUGGAGCCGCCGGUGACGUCACGAAGCCCUUUUCUGCAGCAGAGAGCGGUAAGGCCUGCAGAGGAGGACCAGAGCCGGGCUGCAGGGGAAGUGAUUGAGGAACACGUGAACCAUCUGAGAAUAAUCAGUGGAAUGGAGCACAGCUGAGUGAGGACCUGCACAGAGGAGCCAGGAAGAAGCACAUGAACCUCUCUUCAUAUCAAUCUCUUCCUCCUUUGCAAGACACCACACUGUCAGAAGUGCCUGAAGAGACACAAACGCAGUGAGUGAAUGAGUGGGAGGAAGGAGAAGUUGAUGGUGAUGGAACGAUCAGCAUCUCUUCAUUUAUCUGGAGGCCGAUAGAGGAAGAGCCCCAGCUGUGGUGGGGUUAAUAUUUCUCCAUCCUAAAAGUUCUGCAGGGACUUGUGAUUUGUCACCACAGUAGUAAGGUCUGGUGUCAGGAAUACAGUUAAUGGUUAGGUGCAUGCAUCCCUCCAGAUGCCAACAAAGGAAGGUCCGCCUCAGCCAGGGAGCGUUGCGGAGGAACAGGAACCCUGUCAUUAUCCGUCUCCUCACAAAGAUGGCAGUUCCUGACCAGUUAAUGGUUAACAGACAUGUGGACGCGUCAAUCUUCAGGAGUGACAAGGAGCAUAAACGCGCAAACCUGCAGACGGUAGGAGCCCAGUGCUGAUGCUGUAAACAUAUCUUGUUAACAGGAAGCAGACCCUAUGCCGCAGCAGCACUGAGUGACAGGAUCGCAGAUGACUAACAACAGCAGCGCUCACUCCUUUUCUUUCCCCCUCUGCUGUUUUUACCUGAGAGUUUCUGCUGCUAAGUCUUUAAAACAUGAUUUAUAGUCAUUUAAAUCAGAGCAAAAGUGACUUAAGAAGAACAUUUAUUUGGAAAUUUACAAACUGAAAAGUCUUGUGCCGCUAUAUUCAACAAAUGGAACACUAAAAACCACUGAAUGACAUUACAUAUUCACAUGGUGAUUGCUGGUAACACAAGACAAGGGGAUUUGGGGACCCACAGUGAGAAAAACUGUUUUGAUUUUUAAAUGUGCGCUGCUGAUCUGACUCAUCCAUAUGAAAGCCUGCAUUUAAAGCACUAAGAAUCACAGGAGAGGAGAGAAAAAAAAAGAAAAAAAAUCAGAAAGAAAGAAA